rnacentral:rRNA from 1 species
CCGAAAGGCUUGGGUAAUCUUGNGAAAACCUACCGUGAUUGGGAUAGAUCUUUGNAAUUAUUGAUCUUCAACGAGGAAUUUCUAGUAAGCGCUGUUCAUCAGAUAGGGCUGAUUGCGUC